AACGAACGUUGGCGGCGUGGAUUAGGCAUGCAAGUCGCGGGAAUCCCAGCAAUGGGGGAACCGGCGUAAGGGGCAGUAAUGCGUGGGUACCUACCCCGGGGUCCGGGAUAGCCGUCCGAGAGGGCGGGUAAUACCGGAUGACCUCGGGAGAGCAAAGCUCCGGCGCCCCGGGAGGGGCCCACGUGAUAUUAGCUAGUUGGUGAGGUGACGGCUCACCAAGGCGGAGAUGUCUAGCGGGUGUGAGAGCACGACCCGCGCCACUCGCACUGAGACACUGGCGGGACACCUACGGGUGGCUGCAGUCGAGGAUCUUCGGCAAUGCGCGCAAGCGCGACCGAGCGACGCCGCGUGGGCGAUGAAGGCCUUCGGGUUGUAAAGCCCUGUCGAGGGGGAGAAAAGCGGGAAACCGUGUGAUCUAUCCCUGGAGGAAGCUCAGGCUAAGUUCGUGCCAGCCGCCGCAGUAAGAC
rnacentral:rRNA from 1 species